AUGAUGGACUAUAGGACAGGACUGCUGCUUUUAACUAUCUGCUGGGCAGGUGUUGAUGGUCAGACUCUGACAGAAUCUGAACCAGCAGUUAAAAAGCCUGGAGAAUCCCACAAACUGACCUGUACAACAUCUGGAUUGUCAUUCAGCAGCGUCCACAUGGCCUGGAUUAGACAGGCUCCUGGAAAAGGACUGGAAUGGAUUGCAUUUAUCAGCAAUGGUGGUGGUAGUAGCACAGACUACUCUCAGUCAGUUCAAGGCCGGUUCACCAUCUCCAGAGACAACAGCAGAGAGCAGCUGUAUCUGCAGAUGAACAGUCUGAAGACUGAAGAUUCUGCUGUUUAUUAUUGUGCU